UACAGAGGGUGCGAGCGUUAAUCGGAAUUACUGGGCGUAAAGCGCGCGUAGGCGGUUUUGCAAGUCGGGUGUGAAAUCCCCAGGCUUAACCUGGGAACUGCAUCCGAUACUGGAUGGCUUGAAUCCGGGAGAGGGAUGCAGAAUUCCAGGUGUAGCGGUGAAAUGCGUAGAUAUCUGGAGGAAUACCGGUGGCGAAGGCGGCAUCCUGGACCGGCAUUGACGCUGAGGAGCGAAAGCUAGGGGAGCAAACGGG
rnacentral:rRNA from 1 species